rnacentral:rRNA from 1 species
UACGUAGGGGGCUAGCGUUGUCCGGAAUCAUUGGGCGUAAAGCGCGCGUAGGCGGCCCGGUAAGUCCGCUGUGAAAGUCAAAGGCUCAACCUUUGAAUGUCAGCGGAUACUGCCGGGCUAGAGUCCGGAAGAGGCGAGUGGAACUCCUGGUGUAGCGGUGGAAUGCGCAGAUAUCAGGAAGAACACCCGUGGCGAAGGCGGCUCUCUGGGACGGUACUUGACGGCUGAGACGCGAAAGCCGUGGGGAGCGAACAGG